rfam:Bombyx mori DNA, contig: Bm_scaf112_contig37450, strain: p50T/Dazao, build 2, whole genome shotgun sequence.
UUAACUCAAAUUUAUAUGAAGUUAGAACAGCUCACCUUUGCUUGCUGUGAGGGGCGCUGUUCCAACUCCAUACAAAUAUGAGUUA